rnacentral:misc_RNA from 1 species
GAUGAAGAACGCAGCGAAAUGCGAUAAUUAAUGUGAAUUGCAGAAUUCCGUGAAUCAUCGAGUCUUUGAACGCACAUUGCGCCUCAUGGCAUUCCGUGAGGCAUGCCCAUCUCAGCGUUAGAAAAUAUUCUCAAAUUUUAGUUUUGUGCUAAAAUUUGGAUCAUGUCAAGGAAGCUAUUACUAUUAUUGUGAUCGCUCUUUGGAAAUUGAUAGGUCUUUGAGUUGCUACUCAUAGAACGUGAUGAAUCUUUCUUCGUUCUAUUGUAAUUCACUCUGGUAGUCCUAAAACUUGUAUGCCUGUGGCAUAUCUUGUAAUUUGACCUGAGAUUGGGUAGGGAUACCCGCUGAACUUAAGCAUAUCAAUAAGCGGGAGGA